CUGAGGUGGAAGCGUGGCAACACGUGCAGCUGACAGAUACUAAUCGGUCGAGGGCUUAUCCAA
rnacentral:rRNA from 1 species